rnacentral:lncRNA from 1 species
GAUAUCAGUUCACCAGAUGGCCGGAGCUGCUACUGAAAAAGUGCAGAUCCACAUAAGUGUAAUGUUUUAUGGAUGAGCUAUCUGAGCAAGAACUACAGCAAGGCCUGAUCCAGUUGCAAGGCAGAAAUGUUACAUCUACAGUGUCUUUUAAAAAGAGAAAUUUAAUUGCAUAAGACCCAACAGUUAGAAAUGGUAAUGGAAAGAGUCAGUCAAGAAUUUGUUUUGGAGGAGCAACUUCAAAAUUGUGGAACACGUGGGGAAGUAGGUAUCCUUGAUAUUUCAAGAGUAGUAAUGCUGAAGUUGUUUCUUGAGCCACAAUCUAUCAGAAGAAAAAGGUAA